rnacentral:lncRNA from 1 species
GUGAGUUUUUUUGUGGGGCAGGUGGGGUGGGGGGGUUGCUUGUUGUUUUGUUGCUAUUGUUUUUAGCGGCAAGGGAUAGAAGCUGGACUCAAAGGAUGUAAUAGAAGGUGUCAUCUGUCAACAACACCACCACCACAUGACAACAUGCAGCAAAGCUAGCAGCCACUUCCAAUUCCUGGUGUGAGCUUACAGGGAAAGACGGAAAGACCAAAGAGAAUCGGUUUUCCUUUAUGCUGCUCUUCGUUUCCAGUGGACCUUGCCCUUCUGAAGCAAAGAACAUUCUUGACUCAAUUGAUGAAGGUGCCUUUCAAUUAGACGCUGUAAGGCUCCAGAGCUGAGCGGUCUUGAAGACAGAAUUCAGAGAAGUGAGACUGUGAUUUCUGGACUCAUUAUCCUGACCAACUUCAGAAUACCCAGAAUCUAGCCAUCUAUCUUUUAAUGAUAUUCAGAUCAAUGUACCUCAGCGAAUCUGGGUUUUCUACCAUGAACAUUAAAAAACCCAACACUGCAAUCAUCUGAUAGAUGAGUAUCUCCACCAAUGCAUGCACCUUGUCUUGACUUCCUACAAACCACUCUUCACAAAGCUUGCCAGACAUCAUUGGUCACCUCUCCCAUUAGAGAUUGCCACAAAGACAGGCAUAAAAAGAUCACUGAACUUUUAUCUAUGGGCAGUACUGCAAAAUUGACUAUGAAGAUUUCUGCCAUCCUCAUAAGCAUCAGAGAUAAGCAAUAAUGGAGAUGGUACUUUAUCAGUCAUUUAACUUCCGUAGACAUGCUGAGCUGAAGAAGGAAGAGAAAGAUCAUUAUAUAUAAUUCUCCAGAAAUACAAAGCAACCUAUUCAGUGACAUAGUUUCAAUAAGACAGCUCAAAAUACACAGCUAAUUUAGGUCUGAACUGUUUAGACUGUGUAAUCUUCUUUUGUACACCCAAACCCUAUUAUAACUGGAUAUACAAACAAUAUUGAAAGACUCAAAUUUUCACGAAGUAAAUGCACAAAAGCUACUCUGCAUUAUACACAUGGCUUGGUUCAGAUUCUCCCCUCUCUCUUGUUAGUUCCUUUAAAGACAAUGAACGUUGGAAGAAUAAAGAGAAAUGGAAACAAAGUAAUAGAAUGGGC